rnacentral:rRNA from 1 species
CUAGCGACUUCAGAGUUUGAUCCUGGCUCAGGAUGAACGCUGGCGGCGUGCCUAACACAUGCAAGUCGAACGGAACUUUUACGGAUUGAGACUUCGGUUGAUAGAGGUUUAAGUUUAGUGGCGGACGGGUGAGUAACGCGUGAGUAACCUGCCUUUCACAGGGGGAUAACGUUUGGAAACGAACGCUAAUACCGCAUAACAUAGCGGAGCCGCAUGACUCUGCUAUCAAAGAUUUUAUCGGUGAAAGAUGGACUCGCGUCCGAUUAGGUAGUUGGUGAGGUAACGGCUCACCAAGCCGACGAUCGGUAGCCGGACUGAGAGGUUGAACGGCCACAUUGGGACUGAGACACGGCCCAG